GACGAACGCUGGCGGCGUGCCUAAUACAUGCAAGUCGAGCGAAUCUCAGGGAGCUUGCUCCCUGAGAUUAGCGGCGGACGGGUGAGUAACACGUGGGUAACCUGCCUGUAAGACUGGGAUAACUUCGGGAAACCGGAGCUAAUACCGGAUACUUUCUUUUCUCGCAUGAGGGAAGAUGGAAAGAUGGUUCUGCUAUCACUUACAGAUGGACCCGCGGCGCAUUAGCUAGUUGGUGAGGUAACGGCUCACCAAGGCAACGAUGCGUAGCCGACCUGAGAGGGUGAUCGGCCACACUGGGACUGAGACACGGCCCAGACUCCUACGGGAGGCAGCAGUAGGGAAUCUUCCGCAAUGGACGAAAGUCUGACGGAGCAACGCCGCGUGAGCGAAGAAGGCCUUCGGGUCGUAAAGCUCUGUUGUUAGGGAAGAACAAGUACGAGAGUAACUGCUCGUACCUUGACGGUACCUAACCAGAAAGCCACGGCUAACUACGUGCCAGCCGCCGCCGUAAUAC
rnacentral:rRNA from 1 species